GACGAACGCUGGCGGCGUGCUUAACACAUGCAAGUCGAGCGGUAAGGCCCUUUCGGGGGUACGACGAGCGGCGAACGGGUGAGUAACACGUGGGUGACCUGCCCUCAGCUCUGGGAUAAGCCUGGGAAGGCUGGGUCGUAAUACCGGAUAUGACUCCAUGACGCAUGUUGUGGGGUGGAAAGCCUUGUGCGGCUGAGGAUGGGCCCGCGGCCUAUCAGCUUGUUGGUGGGGUGGAUGGCCUACCAAGGCGACGACGGGUAGCCGG
rnacentral:rRNA from 1 species